GUGUGCAUAUUUAUAUUAUACGUCUUUUGUCUGGUAAAAAAAGAAUUCCUUGGAACCUAACCACCCCUAUUUACAUUAAUUCUUAUGGGGAAACUGGAGUCACUUAACAUCGUUUCACU